GUCGGGGCUGCCGCUGCCCCAAGAGCUUGGGCAGCCCCCUCCCCCUGUGAGUGCGACCACGGCUUGGGGCCAGCCCGGCGCCCAGAGCGGAGGGCAACAGGUACUGCAGACUCAGGACUGGGUAAGCGGGACCCCAGAACUGGCUUUGCAGGUGGGUUGGUCGCAGCGUGCGGUAGAAGGGGCUCCUCAAGCCUCACGGAGGGCCGAAUCGCACCUGAUGGGAGGCACACGGUGUCCGCUGGGCGGCCACCAUACUGUCUGUUUCUGCUGGGCUUGUCGGAGGGGCCUGCCUCAGUCCGCCCCAGCAUCGCACCCUGGGCCGAGAGGGCGGCCCCCCGACAGCCACCCUGUGACCAGGCAGGCAGGCAGUCAGCGGGGUUUGUCCCCAAACCGUAAUCAAAAUGUCGCUGGAGCCUCUGCCUGUGAUGGCCCCAAACUGGAGGCAUCUGUCUGUCCCCGACCUCAUGCCGAGCAGGUGAGCAGCUGCCUGCCAGGUUCCAGGAGCCAUGACGGGGGCCAGGGCGCUGCCGCCCCAGCCCCAGGGGGUGCUUCAGGAGCAGAGGAGCCAGACCCCCCGGAGGUUCUGUGUGGCUGCCUGUGCGCCAGGGUCGGACUCAGCAGGGUGCUUCCCAGGUGUGACUGGCUCGGCAGUGUGGUGAGCAGGAGCCUGUCAGGCUGUGCACUUGGGUCUGUGUGCAUGCGCACUUGCUGUCGAAGGUUUACAUGAAAAGUUGGCGGGAGAAGGGAAGCGGGCUCCCAGAGCUGCCGCCGUGGCCCCCACCCGAGUGCCUGUGAGGGUCCUGGGGGGCAGGCAGGCAGACCCCCCUGUGUGGGGCUGACUCUCGGGAUGGGCUGUCCGGGACUUAAACACACAGACGUGUCACUGUCACAAGGAGGGCGUGACUCGGGAGCCUGCGUCCCAAAUAGGCAGUGGGGGCUUAGGGGCACACUGGCAGCUCUUGGGCAGAGGCCACCGCUCGAGUGUGAGGUUCAGAGAGGUGGGCGGGCAGGGGCCGAGGGGGCAGCAGGGGAGCGGGAAAGAACCGUCCGGCGGGAGGUGGCCAGGGGAGAGGGAGUUGGGCAGAGGCCAGAAGAGGGCACAGAUCCGUCUCUGCAGACCUCCAGUUUUCUGGUUUGGGGGCACUGCCUCCCACGUUGUCCUGCCGCUGCCCUCCUCUGCUUCAGCCCCUGGGGAACGUCAGCUGCCCACUGUGGUCUUGAGGGGCUACUCUGUGUCGAUGUCUUGCCGGGUGUCCCUUCUCUUUGUUCCCCCCAGUGCGGAGUGCUCUUCCUCCAGACCUUCCCAUGCCAGCCUCCCAGGGAGCCUCCCACCUGGCAGACGUCAGUCAGCCUCAGCACUCCUCUCAUCCCUGUGUCAUCCCCUCCCGAGCCCCACAGAACUGCCUUCAUCCGCAGGGGUCAGCACGGUCCCUGUUGCCCCACAUGGUAAUGACAUGCCCACAAGAGGUCAUUGACCUCAAGUUGGGACCGAGGUCUAACGAGACUUCCCCUGAUGGAGGGUCUGCCGCCACCCAGCCUCUCCCCGAGGGCUGGGCCGGCUGACGCACGCCUGCUUCCCAACAAUCUCGCUGAAAUGACCACCGAACAGAACAGGAUGGGAGGGCUGGCCGACAGGAGUCACCUUGUGGUGGCGGAUCACAGCUUGGGCAGAGAAGGAGGGUCCGCUCCGGGCCGUGAGAUGGGAAGCAGCAGAAACAGGUCGCUGCCCCAGCCCCCGAGCCCUAGUCCACAUGUGCCCUGUGAAAUAGAAGUAAUGGCCGAGGGUACCAGACAUUUGAAGAAAACCUCUAUCCCGCAGAAGGGCAGGACAGCUAGGGGAAAAAGGACCCAGAAGAGCCCCAGCAAUAGCUGUGUCACCAUCCUCGCGGUGACCUGUGCCAUCUUGGAAGAAUUAGCCCUGCAGCCAAACGAGAGGGACGUGAUCGCGUCCCAGGUGACACCAGCACCAGGGGCGACGUGUGGUUGUGCCUGUUCGGUGCGGGAGAACGGACUGGGGCCCAGGCAAGCGGAGAGGACACACACAGCUGUGUGCAGAGCCCACGUGCUUAUCGACAGGCUGUAGGAGAUGAACGAGUGGAAAAGGAAUACGCUGAACUGGAAACAGGCGAACCUGUUUGAGAGAAGCUGUAAAGCGCCCCAAAGCAUCACCGAGAAACUGGCAGCAGGGAGACACCAGCACUGAGAGGCCUCCUUAGACAUUUCACACUUCAGCAUCAUCAGCGAUAAGCGUGCUAAAUGUUUGGGGUGCUGGCUGGCUCAGUCAGUGGAGCGUGCAAGUUUUCAUCUUGGGGUUGGGAGUUCGAGCCCUGUGUUGGGUGUAGAGAUUACUAAAACGGAUAAACUGAAAUAAUGCUAAAUUUUUGCCUGCUCUUUUUCGGUACGUCAAACUGGUCAAAUGGAAAAAUAAGCAAGAGUAGGUUCAGCCCUAGCAGACGUGAAAUCAUAUUGCAAAGUGUUGGUUAUCAAAGCAGUGGGGUCCUGGCGUGUGAUGCAUGGUUAUCAGAACCAACUAGAAAGUCUGGAAAUUGACUCAAAUGCCCACAGACACUUAGUGUAGGGUUAAGAUGGUGUCUCAAAUCGGUGGGGAAGAUGGGCUUUACGGUGAAUCACGCUUGGCAGUGGCGUAGCUCUCCAGAAGACAGACAGUUGUAGCCACGCCUCAUCCAACACCAGGGGCGUAGGACGGCCUUUCUAACCUAGCCUCAAAGUCCCGGAGCCGUGAAAGAAACAACGGUUACACGUGACCACAUGUGGAAAACCGACAAAGCUGAGGGGGGGUAAAAUGCACACCAGGAACAAAGGCAGAGAUGGCUGAUGGAUGAGCCAUGACACUCGGUGAGAAUGGGUGGGGCGGUCUUGUCCUUGCUCGGCACCAGGAACACUGGGUUUACACAAGUGAAAGAAUGAACCCAGACUGUCGCCUAACACCACAUGCAAAAGUUAACUCAAAGUGGGUCACACACCUACAACCGCAAAACUCCUAGGAGAAGAUGGGAAAGCUUCAUGUGGACUUGGCAGUGAUUUCUUGGAUGCCAGCAGCUCCAGCAACAAAAGUAAAAAUAGCUAAAUUAGGCUUCAUCAAAAUUAAAACCUUUUGGUCAUCAGAGGACACGGAAAAGUCAACCUGUGGAAUGGGAGAACAUUGGCAAAGCACACAUCUGAUAAAGGAUGAAUGUCUAGAACGUCCAGAGUGCAUAAUGAACUGCUGAAACUCUAAACGGAGCAACAACCUGAAGGAAAAAUGGGCAGAGGGCCUGGACAUUUCUCCAAAGUUAUACCGAUGGUCAAGAAAGAUGUAAAAAGCGCUCAACAUCAUCAGCCCUGGGCCGGCAGUGGAAAGGAAAACCACAGCACACAGCUCGUCACACCCGCGAGGAUGGCUACCGCCAGAAGAAAAGAAAGGAGUACUGGCGAGAUCGUGGGGAGAUCGGAGCCCUGUGCAUGCUGGUGGGAGUGUGGAGUGGCACGGCCACCGUGGAAGCGGUGUGGAGUCCCUCACGAGACGAGGCAUAGAACUACCCUGGAAUCCAGCAAGCCCCGCUCUGGGCACGAAUCCAAAAGAACCGAAAAGCAGGGACUCUAGCACACCCGUGUUCGCGGCGGCGUGAUUCAUACUUGCCACGAGGCGGAAGCAGCCUGGGUGUCCGUCCACGGGUGCAUGCGAGGUAUACUACCACGGAAUGUUACCCAGCCAGAUGUUACCAUGUGGACGAACCAGCAAGACGUUAUGCUUCAGACACGGGAGCACAGACACCGCAUGAUCCACGUGCAGCGGAUUUGAGGUCCCUAGAGUGGCCAGACUCCCGGAGACGGAAAAAGGCGGGGGGGGGGGGGGGGAGUGAGUGGCGACGGACGGUGCUGGCGGGCGGGAUGUGCUUCACGACGCUGCACCGUGUGCCGUAAAUGAUGUCUGUGUGUCAUUUACCACACAGAAGAAGAAAACGUAGACAGGAAGAAAGGGGAGCACAGGCAGCUGCUCAAGGCCCCGGAAGGAAGUGCUGGUGAGCAGCGUGCAAGUAACCAGCAGGCGGGCGGGAGCUCGAGAGCAGCGUGAGCCUGAUGGAAGUUCUAGAAGGUCUGGAGAGAGACGGAGCGAGGCUGCCUGGAUCUUGGAGCCCCACCAGCUGCCCCUGCGGGGCUGGGGCCAGUCUGCACUGGACACUGAGGUCAGGAGAUAACAGGAGCUGUCCCCGGGCCCUUCCUGCCCUGACUCCCAGCAGCUGGCAGGGGCACCAGGGGCGAGGCCCGAGGGACGGAGGCCAGACGUCAGCAACCUGCUCGGAAACCCAGUUGUCAGAACAGAGGGCUUCUUGCAGAGACGGGAGCUCCAGAGGCCAGAAAGAAAGGGAAAGGUUGGGGUGUCGGGCUCGUCGGCCAAGCGUCCAACUCUGACACGCUGCACACAGCAGAGAAUUGCCUUUUCCUCCCGUUGGACUUCAGGGAGUCAACAAGUAACAGCGCCCUCAUCCCUCCCGAAGCCCUGACACAGGGCAAGAGUGGUGCUUGAGAAGGAGACGCCCCUGGGUCGGAGCCCCAGGGCGGCGGGAGCAGCCCAGGAGGAAAGUGGGAGGCAGCAGGUGACCAAGAGCUGACAGAGGUCACAGUCACCUCUCUGCUGACGCCGUGCCCGACAGGCCGUGCCCCUUCUGCCGAGCUGCAAGCAACAGCUGGCAAGGACUCCCAAGGCACGAGGGCCAGGCGGUUCGGGGAGCAGAAAGCUUUCAAAGUGUUCAAGUGAAACCCUGGGAUCUGGAAGAGAGACACUCCCUUCCGUAUAACUUGGAAAGGGUUCUGUUUUUUAAUUUUUUUUUUAAUUUUUUUUAACGUUUAUUUAUUUUUGAGACAGAGAGAGACACAGCAUGAACGGGGGAGGGGCAGAGAGAGAGGGAGACACAGAAUCGGAAGCAGGCUCCAGGCUCCGAGCCAUCAGCCCAGAGCCCGACGCGGGUCUCGAACCCGCGGACCGCGAGAUCGUGACCUGAGCCGAAGCCGGACACUUAACCGACUGAGCCACCCAGGCGCCCCAAGGGUUCUGUUUUUUUAAAAAUACACUUUCAGCAAAUCAUACAGAGCUCUUAAUAAAUAAACAACAGAAUUGAAAUGUUCGGCAGAAGGGUUGGAAUAUGAAAUUGAGGAAAUCGCCUGGAAAAUCAGAGAGAGAGGUGGGAAGCGGGAGAGGAGAGGAGAAGCCGAGGAGCCUUCCAGAAAGACCCGCAUGCAGCUGAAAGGGAGUGAGGGCGGCGGCGGAAAGCUAGGCCUGCGGUGCAGUGCUCGCGGGAAGGGCAGUGAGCGGUGAAACCUCACAGCGUUAUUAAGCAAAGGUGAAAGCUGAUCAUCUGAAUUUGCGUGACCCGAAUUAACUCUUAAAAACCUGAAGACGGCAAAGAGAAUUCUAAAGCUGUCCCAGAAAUGCCCUAAAUGAAGAGCGUAAGGGUGGGCAGUCCCCAGCGAUUAGGAAAUGAGCUCUCCCUGGCGGUGAGGUUGAGAGCGUAGAAGCCACUUGUGCGUACAGAGCAGGCUGCACCCUGACACCAGUGCCGCGGGAGAGCAGGGCUGGGGCUAGGGCAGGCGGGAGUGAUGGGCCCGCCUGACUCUGGCGCAGGUGGAGAGCUCCUGAAUGCGGGGCAGGUAAACCCAGCAGCGUCGGAAAGACCAACUUCGUGACCAUGGUGCCUCCCAGGCUUCCACCCUCCAGGAGACCAGGGACUUUGUGUCCUCACAGCCCUGCGCCCAGUGCCUAGGAUGGUGUGGGGGGAGGGGGGCGGCAGAGUAGGUGCAAGAUGACUACGUAUUGAGUAAAUACAGUUGUGUAUGUACAAAAAAUACCGUACCCCAAGGACAAAGGAAUUUAGAAACCCAUUUGGUAAAAUGGUCUACGUUAAGCGAGAAGGAAGACCGUGUGAUUACUUCAGUAGAUACUGAAAAAUAAAUUCCAGUACGUUUUCUUUAAAACAAAACAAAUAUGACCAUUAAAAACAAUUUUGUAAAAUUGAAGUGUAAUGAGUACGCGGGGAAAAGCUGCUGAUUCUUAGUAAGGUAAGGAGAGGUGGACAGGUCUAUAACCCGAUAAAGCACGGCUAUCAAGAGCCCUGGGUGGUCUUCACCAGAAGUGUUUCUCACAGGCGCGGGCAGCAGGCAGGAACGCAGGGCAUCACCAUGACGAUGGACACACCGGGAACCCGGCCUGUAUGGAAGUCAGGCAAAUGAAAGCCAUAAAUACCUGAAAAGAAAAGAUGAAACGGUCACUCUUUGCAGCUAAUCCAUUGUCUAUCUAGGAAAUCCGUGCAAGCCCCUUAAGAAAAAAGGCCACUAGUAAAAGAGGAAGCUUGGAUACAUGAUCUCCGUCGAAAACUUAAUGGUUUUUCCACAUACUAAAGAUAACCAACCAGAAAAUGUAAGUGGGAAAAAGGAUGCAUUCCCUUUAACAACAGAAACUGCAAAGCCCCUGAGAAUGAGUCUGUUCUUGGGAUGAAUACUGUGGCACGAGACUGAGUAGCACAGAGGAUACCUAACGGGAAGCUUUACCACCUUAUUUGAUGGGAAGAGUUAAUGUUUUGAACCUGUCACGUUCCCCCAAAGUAACUAAUUCAGUGCAAUACUAUUAAAAAAACAAAAAAAAAACAAAAAAAAACUUUCCAUGAAUCUUGAAAAUUUUACCCUAAGUGUAUCUAUGUUUCCAUUCAUGUUUUAGUUACCUGUUGCUGUGUAACAAGUGUCCCUAAGACUUAGCAGCUUAAAACAACAAUAAACAUGUUUGUCCCAGUUUCUAUAGGUCAGGGACUUGGGAACUGCUUAGCUGGGUGGCUUUGGCUCUGGUUACAGGCAAGACGUCAGAGCCAUAGUCAUCUGAAAGUUGAAUAAGCCUGGAGAAUCCACUUCCACAGUGGCUCAUUCGCAUGGCUGGUGAGUCGGUGCUGGCCGUGGGCAGGAGGUCUCAGCUCCUCACCAUGUGCCCUCUUCCUGGGGCUGCUCGAGUCCUCGUGUCCCAAGGCUGGCUUCCCCCGGAGUGGAUGGUUCAGGAGUAGAACAAGGAGGAAGCUUCAGUGUCUUAGGACUGCCUUGGACUCACACUCCAUCGUGUCUACAACUUCCUAUUGGAUACAAGGUCACCACUACGUAACGUGGCAGGGAGGACACAGGGCCUGAGCACCAGGGGCACAAAUCUCUGGAUGCCACCGUGGAGGCUGGCUAACACGGGCAGUCUAACGUAGUCACGUGCCCAGCAAACCAAGAGCAGGAGAAAUGAGGGGAGUCUAUACCAAGAACCGCCAUAGUGCGGCUGCAGGGCACCAGGGGCAAAGGUAAGAUGUCAGGAACGAUCAAAGAGGAGACAGGGUCUGGAAGGGAGUGACAGCCUGGCAUUAACAAUAUAGAAGCUUGACUCGGCGGAGCACAUAACCGUCAAUCUGGAAUUUCGUGCCCAGCAAAAGUAAUCUUUUAAGAAGAGGGGAAAAUAAAUAAAUAAAAGGGUAGGCAAAAUAAGAGAAAACAAAUCUGCCCCAGCAGGACCUCACCCCGGUUGUGAAGGACAGAGCUCACAGAGCAGGAAGGUGAUCUCAGACGGGAGGGGGUGCCAAGAAGCAAGAGACUCGGGGUGGGCGGGUGUGCGCCCAUGAUGGCGCGAGUGUCAGGACGGCGUCUGCAAGUGGCGCUGUGUAUUUGAAAGGCCCUCCGGUGUCCCCCCGAGGGGCCGUCCGUUAGCUUAGGGUUCGGUGAGUUUGCGUGUGGGCGGCGAGUACACCGAGGAAGGGACAAGACAAAGCAUGAGGUCCCGCAGCAGGUGUAAUCGCCGACGUCGGUCCGGUCGAUGGACGCACGGAGACCAGACGCCCCGCUCACAAGGCAGCCAUUGUCAGAUGGAUUAAAAACAACCCGGUCCCUCGAUGUGCGCAUGAAUGUGCAUGGAGAGAAACGUGGGAACGUUCCAGCCAAGUGGGAUGGGGACCUCCCACGCACAGUCUCCCAUCUGUUCGUGGCCUGCUUCGGUGCCAAACUGCCUUUCGGCCUGGAGUUAGAGCGGGUGGGUGCCUCUCCACGUGGCAGCAGGGUGACCCGGCAGACAUGCUCGUGAGUGAAGGAAGCAAGUGGUGCCGUAUGUGUGCAGCGUGGCUUCCUUUAUUCAGGGUUCAGAAAUGUGCAUACAUCACUGCAUAGUAAAGAUACUAUUUGAAAAAAAUAAAGAUUUUUUUUGCAAAUUUACUUGGAAAAGAAACCAGACACGAAUUUUGAAACAGAAGAGCAGGCACCGCUUGUCUGCUCUAAGCUCCAGCAAUUAAAAUUGUACGGCGUUGGGACAGACAGACCGCGCGAGUGGUCCACGAUCCGGUGCCAAUAGUCUGGAAACGGGCCCCUGUGUAAGUCCGGGGAUUUGAUCUGUGCUUCGCACGGAUUGCAGAACAGUGAGGAAACGGACUUUCCCACGAAUGGUGUCGGGGUAACUGGCUGCCCAUAUUGGAGAUCGUAAGGUAGACUCCUCACGUGUCCUCAAACGCACACCAAGUGUCAGGACCAAACCACGGAUGUGCCACGAGGGUGUGUGAGAGCAUUGUCAGAAUCUCACGGAGGGGCGCCUGGGUGGCUCAGUCGGUUGGGUAUCUGACUUUAGCUCAGGUCCUGAUCUUAAGGAUCACGUGAGUUCGAGCCCCACAUUGGGCUCUGUGCUGACCGCUCAGAGCCUGGAGCCUGCUUCGGAUUCUGUGUUCCCUCUUUCUCUGCCCCUCCCCAGCCCUCUCUCUCUCUCUCUCUCUCUCUCUCUCUCUCUCAAAAGUAAAUAAACAUUAAAAAUUAAAAAAAAAAAAAAAAAAAGAAUCUCUCAGUGGGAAAUUCCUCCCUGGGGCCACGCACAGAACCCACGAGGGGAAAUCCUGACAAAUCUGACUGCAGUUUUUCAAGGCUUCAAAGACACACAUUCUAAGACGUCUGGAAGGAAUGCCUGUGGCACGUAUGACAUUCCCAACCAGAGUGCACAGAGAGGCGCUUCACAGCAGCAGGAGAGCUGUGUCCAGAACUGGGUAGGAGAGCGUCUGAAGUACGUGGACUUACAGUUCGUGGCAGGAGGAGAUGGGCCGACAUGACGGGGACCGUGCCUGGGGCCGGGGGGACUCCAGUCGUUCUGUCCUGCUGGGUUUUCAAAAAGCCAACUGGUGAUAAUUGUCCCCUGUGGACUUAUUCAUUAAUCUUUGCUCCUUCUGCCUUUAACUUGCAGUGAAUUUCUUUUGUUGUUCUUUUCCUAGCUUCUUGAAUUUUCUGCUUUGCAAUCUGGUCUGUGGCUUUUUUCUAACUUUCCAGCAUUUAAAACUUCAUCUUCACAGGACAGGAGUGCACCCUGGAUCCUUGCUCGUUUCUAAGAUUGGGGAUCCUGUCCUCACUAUGCACACUCUCCUUGGGGACCCCAGCCACAUCCAGAAGCUGCUGUGCCUGUGCUAAUGAAGCUCACUCCUCCUCAGAGCCCCAGGCAUGUGGACAACUGCCCGUGGCCGCUCCGGAGUCCCACAGGCCGCGCUUGGGGGAAGUCCGGAGGCCAGCUCUGUUCCCAGGGGAGGCUGCUCGUCUGGGGUGCCCCGCCAGCCCCUCCUCUGCAGGACCCCUGUUCCUGGGCCCUCAGACUCCCCACUCACUGGUUUGCUCCCUUGUUUCGGUGGACUGCCUCAUCUGACAGCUGCCCAGAAGGGUCCAGAAGACGUUUGAGUCCUCGACUAUAAAGUUGUUAAACUGUCUUUA